UACGCAGGCUGGCAGCUAAGUCAGUGGUGAAAUCCCACCGCUCAACGGUGGAACUGCCAUUGAUACUGGUUGUCUUGAGUACAGUAGAGGUAUGCGGAAUGUGACAUGUAGCGGUGAAAUGCAUAGAUAUGUCAUAGAACACCGAUUGCGAAGGCAGCAUACUGGACUGUAACUGACGCUGAGGUACGAAAGCGUGGGGAGCGAACAGGAUUAGAUACCCUGGUAGUCC
rnacentral:rRNA from 1 species